rnacentral:rRNA from 1 species
CGGAGGCAGCAGUGGGGAAUAUUGGGCAAUGGGCGAAAGCCUGACCCAGCAACGCCGCGUGUGUGAUGAAGGCCUUCGGGUCGUAAAGCACUUUUCUGGGAGAUGAGAAAGGACAGUAUCCCAGGAAUAAGUCUCGGCUAACUACGUGCCAGCAGCCGCGGUAAAACGUAGGAGGCGAGCGUUAUCCGGAUUCACUGGGCGUAAAGCGCGUGCAGGUGGCGCGGUAAGUUGGGCGUGAAAUCUCCCGGCUCAACUGGGAGAGGUCGUCCAAUACUACCGUGCUUGAGAGCAGAAGAGGAAGAUGGAAUUCCCGGUGUAGUGGUGAAAUGCGUAGAUAUCGGGAGGAACACCAGUGGCGAAGGCGAUCUUCUGGUCUGUUUCUGACACUCAGACGCGACAGCUAGGGUAGUAAACGGGAUUAGAUACCCUGGU